rnacentral:lncRNA from 1 species
CUUUUUCUAGCCCCUCCCAGUCGGCCUCCUCUGCAGGCUCCCCACUCACCCCGGUAGCAUGGCAGGCAGUAGAUGCAGAGGAGAAGCAGCAGGACGAGCAGUGCUAUACCCAAUAGGGAGCCCAGGACAAUGCCAGCAAUGGCACCGGGGCCCAAGGUGGGGCCUGGAAGAGACAAACAGAAGGAAGAGAAGUUUCCAAACCCCUAAUUCACCCUUCCUGUGAGGAUCCCGUGCACUGUCCCUCUCAGAACACAGAACUUGGGGCUGAGCACUCUCAAUUCAUUUAAUGUUUUCUGAAUGACGGACUACCCAGUGCCUGGCAAUUCGGCCUCGUGGUGAGGAUCCACUGGUUACCAGAGGGGGAAGACAAGCCACUGCAACAGAUUGAGAAUGGCUGGCCAGAGUUCUAAGAGGAAGUCCAGGAGAAGAUGUCCACGGCCCGACUCACCUGCCUGGUCCACAUUCAGGCUGAAGUUGCUGAUGAGAAGCUUCUGCCCAUCUUGGCUGAUUCGCAGGCGACCCCCGCCUCCUGGAGCCAGGGGCCUUCCUUCCCGGGCCCAGGAUGCUCGAGAGGGUGGGAGACAGCCAGAAGCCUCCAGAGCCACCUCUGCCUCCCCUGACCUUGUCUCUCGCACCAGCUGAUGUAGCAGCACCUCCCUGGGGGCCUCUGUAGGUGACAGAAGCCCAGUUAAAAGUCAAGACCUGCCUAGUGUGGUAAGGCCCACCUGUAAUCCCAGCAACUCAGGAGGCUGAGGCAAGAGGAUCACAAGUUCCACACCAGCCUGGGCAACUUAGAGAGACCCUGUCUCAAAAUAAAAAAUAAAAAGGGCUGGGGAUGCAGCUCAGUGGUAUAACCACCCAGGGUUCAAUCCCUAGUAUUGGGAGAAAAAAAAAAAAGGCAAGACCAUAUUCUCCACUGGAAUAAUAAGUCCUAUGUCCUUCGAUAAAUCAAAUAGUGGUGAACCCAGCACUGUGGGGGAACUGCCCAUUCACUCUCACAUUCAUUCAUUCACUGAUAUCCUCAGCAAACACUUAACUGAAUAUAUGUUAUACAUGGGCAAGGGCUGGGAAGCCCAUUAUGCUCAGCUAUUCAUUACUUUGAAAAAAUGAAAAUAAAA